AGAGUUUGAUCCUGGCUCAGAUUGAACGCUGGCGGCAUGCCUAACACAUGCAAGUCGAACGGUAACAGGACGCUGUGAUCUCUUCGGAGUGAACUUGUCGCUGACGAGUGGCGGACGGGUGAGUAAUGCUUAGGAAUCUGCCCAGUAGUGGGGGACAACACGGGGAAACUCGUGCUAAUACCGCAUACGCCUUACGAGGGAAAGUGGAGGAUCUUCGGACUUCACGCUAUUGGAUGAGCCUAAGUCGGAUUAGCUUGUUGGUGGGGUAACGGCCUACCAAGGCGACGAUCCGUAGCUGGUCUGAGAGGACGAUCAGCCACACUGGGACUGAGACACGGCCCAGACUCCUACGGGAGGCAGCAGUGGGGAAUAUUGGACAAUGGGGGAAACCCUGAUCCAGCAAUGCCGCGUGUGUGAAGAAGGCCUGCGGGUUGUAAAGCACUUUCAGUAGAGAAGAAAAGCUCAGGGUUAAUACCCCUGAGUCUUGACGUAACCUACAGAAGAAGCACCGGCUAACUCCGUGCCAGCCGCCGCGGUAAUACA
rnacentral:rRNA from 1 species